UGCAGCCUUUCAGUACCUAAAGGGAGCCUAUAAACAGGAGGGGAGUCAACUCUUUGAAAGGGGAGAUAACAGCAGGACAGGGGGAAAUGGUUUUGAAGCAGGGAAGAUUUCAGUUGGAUGUCAGGGUAAGUUCUUUACUGUGAGAGUGGUGAGGUGCUGGAACAGCUGCCCAGAGAGGUUGUGGAUGCCCCGUCCAUCCCUGGAGGUGUUCAAGGCCAGGUUGGAUGGGGCCCUGGGCAACUUGGUCUAGUAAAUGGGGAGGUUGGUGGCCCUGCCCAGCAGGGUCCUUGGAGAUUCAUGAUCCUUGAGAUCCCUUCCAACCCAGGCCAUUCUGUGAUUCUGUGUGAUUCUGUGAUGCCAUAAUGCUACUGUUUAAGCUAUAGGACCUAACUGUAAAUCUACUGGAGGGAAAAAUCUCUGCUUGGUGCAGUAAAAAAAACUUGCAGGAAGAUGUUGGUGUAGAAAAGGGCUGUGAGAGGGACCUUGAAGGGCAAUUUCACAAAACAU
rnacentral:lncRNA from 1 species